AUUGAACGCUGGCGGCAGGCCUAACACAUGCAAGUCGAGCGGAUGAAGGGAGCUUGCUCCUGGAUUCAGCGGCGGACGGGUGAGUAAUGCCUAGGAAUCUGCCUGGUAGUGGGGGAUAACGUCCGGAAACGGGCGCUAAUACCGCAUACGUCCUGAGGGAGAAAGUGGGGGAUCUUCGGACCUCACGCUAUCAGAUGAGCCUAGGUCGGAUUAGCUAGUUGGUGGGGUAAAGGCCUACCAAGGCGACGAUCCGUAACUGGUCUGAGAGGAUGAUCAGUCACACGGGAACUGAGACACGGUCCAGACUCCUACGGGAGGUAGCAGUGGGGAAUAUUGGACAAUGGGCGAAAGCCUGAUCCAGCCAUGCCGCGUGUGUGAAGAAGGUCUUCGGAUUGUAAAGCACUUUAAGUUGGGAGGAAGGGCAGUAAGUUAAUACCUUGCUGUUUUGACGUUACCAACAGAAUAAGCACCGGCUAACUUCGUG
rnacentral:rRNA from 1 species